GGGAACUGGGGCUAUUGUCAGGGGAACUGGGGAAGGACAGGGGGGAACUGGGGCUGUUCCCGGGGUAACUGGGCUGACAGGGGGCACUGGGGGGAACUGGUUUGACUGGGGUGGGGUGGCGCAGUGAGAGGGGCAAGUGGGAGAGACUGGAGGGCACCGGGCAGGCACUGGGGUGUGCUCGGUGCGACACCGGGGCCGGGGAGGGGCCGGGGGUCGGCCCCAGGGCGGCUCCCCCAGCCCGUCCCCGCCCCGUCGGGUCCCCCCGCCCUUCCCCGCGGCCUCGGGCCCCGCGGGCUCUGAAAUGGCGGCCGGAGGCGGCGGCGCCGUGGAAAUGGACCCACCGACACCCCCGGCCCCCGGGACAGACCCCAGGGCGAGACCCCCAGGACGGGCCCCUCCACGGCCCCCCGCGCUGGACCGGACUCUCUCCUCCCCUCCCGACCCUCCAGUCCCCUCCUGUCCCCUCCACCUCAUCCUGUCUCAUCCCGUCCAGUCCUAUUCUCUCCAACCCCACCCCAUCCUGUCGUGCCCUGUCCACUCUUAUGCCGCUUUUAUCCAUCCCACCACGUCCUGUCCCAUCAAUCCCCCCUGUCCCAUCCCAUCCCAUCCCAUCCCAUCCCAUCCCAUCCCAUCCCAUCCCAUCCCAUCCACCCUGUCCCCAUCCCAUCCAUCCUGUUGAGUCUUGCCUAGUCUUGUCAUGUCCCAUCCAGUCCCACCCUACCCAUCCCACAUCUUGUCCCAUCCCAUUCCAGCCCUCCUGUCCCAUCCUAUCCCACCUGUCUCGUGCAGUUUCAUCCUGUCCCAUCUCAUCCCAGCCCAUUCAUCCUGUCCCCCUGUACCCUAUUCUAUCCCACCCACCCUAUCCCAUCCCAUUUCAUCCCAUCCAUCCUGUCCCACCUCAUUCCAUCCCCGGGCCAUCCCAUCUGCCCUGUCCCAUCCCUUCCUGUUCUGGCACAGCCCCUGUCACACGGCCCCACUGCCAGUCCGGACUUUGGGGACCCGGGGUGACAAUGGGGGGAAGUUGGGAACAACAAACACGGGGGAGGGCAGGAAACCCUUUGGUUUGUGGGAAAAGGGAGGGGAUGAGGGGGGACAGGAUGAGGCACCCUGCCUUGGAGGGGUACAGGGGUGUGACAGCAGGUGGGGACCCCCAAUUAGAGACCCCCCUGUCCUGGGCUGUCCCAGGGAUCUGCAACCCCCAUCCAGGAGUGAUCCAUUGGGAAGGAAUGCCAGGACCAACUCUGGGAUGGAGGGUGUCACUGCCUGGAGUCUGUACAUCCCAGUGCAACUGGGGAGUCUGGGAUCCAGGGCAGCUGCUGGGUGGAGGGAGUGCCUGAUCCUGGCUCUGGGAGGCUCCAAGCUGUCCCUAUGGAGAUCCAGGCGUUUUUAUCAGCAGAGGAAAAGGUAAAACCACGAAUCCCAAAUGCCGGACGCAGCACCCGGAGCAGCCUCGUUUGCCAGGCUUGGCUCCACGGAUGCUCAGCUUGGCUUGUGCCGUUCACCUGUCCCACAAGUUACCUGGCAAAGCUCCCAAACAACAGCCAGGAGCAGGGCGACGGAGCUGCAGGAAUCGGCAAGGGGCUGCCACGGCUCAUCCCACACGGAAUUCAGAGUGGAAACACUGUAUUGACAGACUUUACAAAAGUUGUUACAAAACACGGUCACGAACCAGCAGCUGACGAUACACAGCGAAGAGACACCACGUACAGGCACCUCGGAACAACACCAACAGCUCCAGAAGUCAACCAAUAUUUACACAAACGGCUGGAAAACUCUGGGCGUUUAUCGCAUAACAUGGAAGUGUUUUAGAGCAACUGUGAAAUAUAGUGUCACACCUUUC